UACGAAGGGGGCUAGCGUUGCUCGGAUUUACUGGGCGUAAAGGGCGCGUAGGCGGACAUUUAAGUCGGGGGUGAAAGCCCGGGGCUCAACCUCGGAAUUGCCUUCGAUACUGGAUGUCUUGAGUGUGAGAGAGGUGUGUGGAACUCCGAGUGUAGAGGUGAAAUUCGUAGAUAUUCGGAAGAACACCAGUGGCGAAGGCG
rnacentral:rRNA from 1 species